UACAGGGGGUGCAAGCGUUGCUCGGAAUCACUGGGCGUAAAGCGUACGCAGGCGGACCGUUAAGUCGGGUGUGAAAGCCCGGGGCUCAACCCCGGAACUGCAUUCGAUACUGGCGGUCUUGAAUACGGGAGAGGUGAGUGGAAUUCCUGGUGUAGCGGUGAAAUGCGCAGAUAUUAGGAAGAACACCAGUGGCGAAGGCGGCUCACUGGUCCGGUACUGACGCUGAGGUGCGAAAGCGUGGGGAGCAAACAGG
rnacentral:rRNA from 1 species